CUUCCUCGCCGCGAAACCUCCUCCGACGCUGGACUUCACGCCGGAGAACCACGAUCGCUGUUUAUCUCUUAGAGGUCUAAUGGACAAUGGGAAACAAGUGAAAAACGAUAACUAUGCUGCUGAUAUUGCUUCCAUAAGGGAGGCGAGAGUUCGUAUUGCUCCAUAUAUUCAUGAAACUCCAGUGCUUACCUCGAAGUCUUUAGAUUCUAUAGCUUCCAAACGGUUGUAUUUCAAGUGUGAAUGCUUUCAAAAAGGAGGAGCCUUUAAGAUUAGAGGAGCUUCAAAUGCUAUAUUCUCCCUUUCUGAUGAUCAAGCUGCCAAAGGCGU